rnacentral:lncRNA from 1 species
CAGAAGUCAGGUCGGAUUAAGCCAUAGUACGGAAAAAACUAUGCUACCUGUGAGCCCCGUCCAAGGACGUUAAAAGAAGUCAGGCCACUACAAGUGCCAUAGCUUGAGUAAACUAUGCAGCCUGUAGCUCCACCUGAGAAGGUGUAAAAAAUCUGGGAGGCCACAAACCAUGGAAGCUGUACGCAUGGCGUAGUGGACUAGCGGUUAGAGGAGACCCCUCCCUUACAAAUCGCAGCAACAAUGGGGGCCCAAGGUGAGAUGAAGCUGUAGUCUCACUGAAAGGACUAGAGGUUAGAGGAGACCCCCCCGAAAUAAAAAACAGC